UACAGAGGUCUCAAGCGUUGUUCGGAUUCAUUGGGCGGAAAGGGUGCGUAGGUGGCGCGGUAAGUCGGGUGUGAAAUUUCGGAGCUUAACUCCGAAACUGCAUUCGAUACUGCCGUGCUUGAGGACUGGAGAGGAGACUGGAAUUUACGGUGUAGCAGUGAAAUGCGUAGAUAUCGUAAGGAAGACCAGUGGCGAAGGCGGGUCUCUGGACAGUUCCUGACGCUGAGGCACGAAGGCCAGGGGAGCAAACGGG
rnacentral:rRNA from 1 species